rnacentral:rRNA from 1 species
UACGGGGGGGGCAAGCGUUGUUCGGAAUUACUGGGCGUAAAGGGCGCGUAGGCGGCCUUCUAAGUCAGACGUGAAAUCCCCCGGCUUAACCUGGGAACUGCGUCUGAUACUGGGAGGCUAGAGUGCGGGAGAGGGAUGCGGAAUUCCAGGUGUAGCGGUGAAAUGCGUAGAUAUCUGGAGGAACACCGGUGGCGAAGGCGGCAUCCUGGACCGACACUGACGCUGAGGCGCGAAAGCUAGGGUAGCAAACGGG